CCUACGGGAGGCAGCAGUGGGGAAUAUUGGGCAAUGGGCGCAAGCCUGACCCAGCAACGCCGCGUGAAGGAAGAAGGCUUUCGGGUUGUAAACUUCUUUUGUCAGGGAAGAGUAGAAGACGGUACCUGACGAAUAAGCCACGGCCAACUACGUGCCAGCAGCCGCGGUAAUACGUAGGUGGCAAGCGUUGUCCGGAUUUACUGGGUGUAAAGGGCGUGUAGCCGGGUUGACAAGUCAGAUGUGAAAUCCUGCGGCUUAACCGCAGAACUGCAUUUGAAACUGUUGUUCUUGAGUACUGGAGAGGCAGACGGAAUUCCGAGUGUAGCGGUGAAAUGCGUAGAUAUUAGGAGGAACACCAGUGGCGAAGGCGGUCUGCUGGACAGCAACUGACGGUGAGGCGCGAAAGCGUGGGGAGCAAACAGGAUUAGAUACCCUAGUAGUC
rnacentral:rRNA from 1 species